AAGCUGUGAUUGCUUGUAGUGUUUGUGUAAAUAAAUAAAAGAUAAAAUUUAGCAGAUUAGAAUUAGUCUGACGGCGGAAAAGUUGCUAAAUUGCUAAAACAACAUGCAAAUUAUUCCAUAACGUGCCACAGAGACGAGUUGAGCUCGAAAGACUCAGUAUGAAACGCGGUAAACCCCUCAAGCG
rnacentral:RNase_P_RNA from 1 species